GGGUUGUGAGGUUAAGCGACUAAGCGUACACGGUGGAUGCCCUGGCAGUCAGAGGCGAUGAAGGGCGUGCUAAUCUGCGAUAAGCGCCGGUAAGGUGAUAUGAACCGCUACAACCGGCGAUACCCGAAUGGGGAAACCCAGUGUGUUCCGACACACUAUCAUGCAGUGAAUACAUAGCUGUAUGAGGCGAACCGGGGGAACUGAAACAUCUAAGUACCCCGAGGAAAAGAAAUCAACCGAGAUUCCCCCAGUAGCGGCGAGCGAACGGGGAGGAGCCCAGAACCAUCAUCAGCUUGUGCAUCAGUGGAAGCGUCUGGAAAGUCGCAGGGUACAGGGUGAUACUCCCGUACACAAAGGUGCACAGGCUGUGAGUUCGAUGAGUAAGGCGGGACACGUGGUAUCCUGUCUGAAUAUGGGGGGACCAUCCUCCAAGGCUAAAUACUCCUGAC
rnacentral:rRNA from 1 species